rnacentral:rRNA from 1 species
AUUGAACGCUGGCGGCAUGCCUUACACAUGCAAGUCGAACGGCAGCACGGGGCAACCUGGUGGCGAGUGGCGAACGGGUGAGUAAUGCAUCGGAACGUACCUUUCAGUGGGGGAUAACGUAGCGAAAGUUACGCUAAUACCGCAUAUUCUGUGAGCAGGAAAGCAAGGGAUCGCAAGACCUUGCGCUGAUUGAGCGGCCGAUGUCAGAUUAGCUAGUUGGUGAGGUAAAGGCUCAUCAAGGCGACGAUCUGUAGCGGGUCUGAGAGGAUGAUCGGCCAGACUGGAACUGAGACACGGUCCAGACUCCUACGGGAGGCAGCAGUGGGGAAUUUUGGACAAUGGGGGCAACCCUGAUCCAGCCAUGCCGCGUGAGUGAAGAAGGCCUUCGGGUUGUAAAGCUCUUUCGGCCGGGAAGAAAUCGCACGGGCUAAUACCCUGUGUGGAUGACGGUACCGGAAUAAGAAGCACCGGCUAACUACGUGCCAGCAGCCGCCGUAAUAC